AUUGAACGCUGGCGGCAGGCCUAACACAUGCAAGUCGAGCGGAUGAGUGGAGCUUGCUCCAUGAUUCAGCGGCGGACGGGUGAGUAAUGCCUAGGAAUCUGCCUGGUAGUGGGGGACAACGUUUCGAAAGGAACGCUAAUACCGCAUACGUCCUACGGGAGAAAGCAGGGGACCUUCGGGCCUUGCGCUAUCAGAUGAGCCUAGGUCGGAUUAGCUAGUUGGUGAGGUAAUGGCUCACCAAGGCGACGAUCCGUAACUGGUCUGAGAGGAUGAUCAGUCACACUGGAACUGAGACACGGUCCAGACUCCUACGGGAGGCAGCAGUGGGAAUAUUGGACAAUGGGCGCAAGCCUGAUCCAGCCAUGCCGCGUGUGUGAAGAAGGUCUUCGGAUGUAAAGCACUUUAAGUUGGGAGGAAGGGUAGUAACCUAAUACGUUGCUACUUUGACGUUACCGACAGAAUAAGCACCGGCUAACU
rnacentral:rRNA from 1 species